rnacentral:rRNA from 1 species
UACGUAGGGUGCGAGCGUUUGUCCGGAAUUAUUGGGCGUAAAGAGCUCGUAGGCGGUCUGUCGCGUCUGCUGUGAAAACCCGAGGCUCAACCUCGGGCCUGCAGUGGGUACGGGCAGACUAGAGUGCGGUAGGGGAGAAUGGAAUUCCUGGUGUAGCGGUGGAAUGCGCAGAUAUCAGGAGGAACACCGAUGGCGAAGGCAGUUCUCUGGGCCGUAACUGACGCUGAGGAGCGAAAAGCGUGGGGAGCGAACAGG